AUUGAACGCUGGCGGCAGGCCUAACACAUGCAAGUCGAACGAGUGGCGGACGGGUGAGUAAUGUCUGGGAAACUGCCAGAUGGAGGGGGAUAACUACUGGAAACGGUCGCUAAUACCGCAUACUAUCAGAUGUGCCCAGAUGGGAAUAGCUAGUAGGGGGGGUAACGGCUCAUCUAGGCGACGAUCCCUAGCUGGUCUGAGAGGAUGACCAGCCACACUGGAACUGAGACACGGUCCAGACUCCUACAGGAGGCAGCAGUGGGGAAUAUUGCACAAUGGGCGCAAGCCUGAUGCAGCCAUGCCGCGUGUAUGAAGAAGGCCUUCGGGUUGUAAAGUACUUUCAGCGAGGAGGCGUUACUCGCAGAAGAAGCACCGGCAAACUCCGUGCCAGCAGCCGCGGUAAUAC
rnacentral:rRNA from 1 species